rnacentral:rRNA from 1 species
CUCCGGUUGAUCCUGCCGGACCUGACUGCUAUCGGAUUGGUACUAAGCCAUGCGAGUCGUUGUAGCAAUACAAGGCGGACGGCUCAGUAACACGUAGUCAACCUAACCUAUGGACGUGGAUAACCUCGGGAAACUGAGAAUAAACCGCGAUAGAUCAUUAUGCCUGGAAUGGCUUAUGGUUUAAACAAUUUAUUGCCGUAGGAUGGGACUGCGGCCUAUCAGCUUGUUGGUGAGGUAAUGGCCCACCAAGGCUAUAACAGGUACGGGCUCUGAGAGGAGAAGCCCGGAGAUGGGUACUGAGACACGGACCCAGGCCCUAUGGGGCGCAGCAGGCGAGAAACCUUAGCAAUGUGCGAAAGCACGACUAGGUUAAUCCGAGUGAUUUCUGUUGAAGAAAUCUUUUGUCAGUCGUAAAACCACAGACGAAUAAGGGGUGGGCAAGUCUGGUGUCAGCCGCCGCGGUAAUACCAGCACCUCGAGUGGUCAGGAGGUUUAUUGGGCCUAAAGCAUCCGUAGCCGGCUACGCAAGUCUCCGGUUAAAUCCAGCUGCUCAACAGAUGGGCUGCCGGAGAUACUACAUAGCUAGGGAGCGGGAGAGGUAGACGGUAUUCUGUGGGUAGGGGUAAAAUCCACUGAUCCAUAGAGGACCACCAGUGGCGAAGGCGGUCUACCAGAACGCGUUCGACGGUGAGGGAUGAAAGCUGGGGGAGCAAACCGGAUUAGAUACCCGGGUAGUCCCAGCUGUAAACGAUGCAAACUCGGUGAUGCAUUGGCUUAUGGCCAAUGCAGUGCCGCAGGGAAGCCGUUAAGUUUGCCGCCUGGGAAGUACGGACGCAAGUCUGAAACUUAAAGGAAUUGGCGGGGGAGCA